rnacentral:pre_miRNA from 1 species
UUUGUACUCCCUCCGUCCGAAAAUACUUGUCAUCAAAAUGGAUAAAAAGAGAUGUAUCUAGAACUAAUAUACAUCUAGAUACAUCCCCUUUUAUUCAUUUUGAUGACAAGUAUUUCCGGACGGAGGGAGUACUCC